AGAGCGGCGGCUGCCUCCGCCCGCCCGUGGCCUCGGAUGGCGGGGAGGAGCCCCGCGGCCUCCCCGGCCCUCAGCCCCGGGUCCUGCUGAGCUGCUCCCUCAAAUCAGAUAGCAAAGCCCGGCUUCGGCGGGCGGAAGGCACACAAAGCCCACCUAGAGGGGUGCCUGGGCCAGGCCAUGCAGCCCAGCGGUGGGAGGGAUGAGCACAACACAGAACACAUUUCCAAAGGAAAAAAAAAAAAAAAAAGCAAAAAAAAAAAAAAAAAAAAAGGAAAAACUGCAAGGCUGGGCUCCAUCCCUGCACCCUGCCCUGCCAGCAGCCAUGAUGGGAGUGCUGCUGGAGCCCCUUCUGCCCUCACAUGGAAGAGACGCGGCGUUGGUUAAAGCAAACAGCGAUACAGUGCUCCGAACAGCGAUACAGUGCUCCUCUGCUGUUUCUGGGAACGUGGGACGCCUCCUGGAGCGGGACGCCAUGGCCGGAGAGGUGCUGAGCCGUCCUCAGGGUUUUGCAGGGUUCUUUAGAGCUGUGCUGCAGUGUUUCAGCCACUUGCAUCAUCAUGAGUUGUCAGCAUGCAAAGCCAUUAAAGAAUUGGCUGAUUGAAACAGCACCAGCCAUGAGCUUCCCUGGAUUUUAAGCUGGUGUUUAAAUAGAUCUAUGGAUCUUAACGUCUGCAUUUUAAACCUCAAUUUUGGUCUGUUUAACCCUGAAGCAAACUAGCUCUGCCUAACGCAGCACAGGCUUCGAAACAAUUCAGCCAGACCAUAAUACCGUGGGAGCUCAGACAGCUUUGUCUGCACUCGCACCUCUCUGCACGUCUCCGCAGGACCGUGACUGCUGCUGUGUGCAAUCCAUCACCGCAUGGACGGUGCUGGAACCCCCGGCUGCUCCCCAGCACGCACCAGGGCCCACACCGGCCAAACCCCACGGGGUAAAGCAGAGCCAGGGCUCUGCGUGGGUCCUCAGCACUUCUGGAAAUGGCUGUUGUAAGUCUGAACUGAAAAUUUCUGUACGUUUGUAGGGUUUCUAAAUGACUGUAAUGUUCAGUGUUGUUGAAAAGCAACCGAGGCGGUUGAGACCGGUUGUGCUCCCUGGAGUGGGUGGUUUAAUGGUUGAACCUCCUAUUUGAAAAGAGAAGCGUUCUGGUACAGCGUGCUUAAAGCCCACAGAGGUCAGAGCAGACUUCUAGCCUCGGGUUAGGCUGACCCUGGUUUGCUGCCCGAGCCUCUUCAGGAAAAGAAAGAGCUCUUUCAGGGGAAAGGAAACAAAGAUUUUUUCCUCCAAAUGGCCCGUGGUCACUCCAUGCACGUUCUUAAUGCAGUGGGGUUUGUUCUUACCCGCAGCGUCCCUCCCCUGUGUCGUUGAGUCAAAAACUCAUGGUAAUUAUUUUAGUGCCUGUUAUCAAUAAGAUGUUGUUUAAUUUCUUUGGCAAAGUGCUGUGACUAAAGCAAAUUAGAUUGAGAGGCAAAGUGAAAUAACAAAUAUGCAGCCGCUCUGCCAAACAAUGACUGGGACUGUUUACAACAUUUUGUUUCAGACUGGUUUGUACACAGAAUCCUUUCUGUUGAAGGUCUGCAUGUCACAAUCUGCUGCUUGUGCAAGCAGACUAGAUUAGCAGAUUAUAAAGGACAAAAGGGACCUAGGUUUGUCUGGUUUGACUUCCUGCAUGAUGCAGGUCGUAAGAUAUUUGGGAAUGUGUUGCUUUUUUCUCAUUUGAGAGAAUUUAACAAUAGCAUACCUGUAUCUUAGAGAAAAUAUCAUCGUUGUAAUUUUAAAAAUGGCCUCUGAGAGUAAAGUAAGAAUUGGCAGACUGUUUCCAUGAAAAUCUACCUGGUAGAUGGAAUUAAGAUACCUUUUAAAC
rnacentral:lncRNA from 7 species